rnacentral:lncRNA from 1 species
GUACUACCAGUGAGACAAAUAAUAUCAAAAUUAUAGAAACUUCUACCAGCUCUAACUCAAAAUAUUGACAAUUCUGUGUUAAGGAGGUGUAAAAUUCAGUUUGACAGCUUCAGACGUGAUAAAAUUUGAUUUUUGAACUGGACCAAAUCACUACUUAACAUAGAGAUUCAGCACCCAUUUUUUUUAACAUGUAAAUACAUCCCCCUACUUAAUAUUUCAUGCAUUUUAUAUCAAGAA